rnacentral:rRNA from 1 species
GGGAAACCGAGUCUUAACUGGGCGAAUAGUUGCAAGGUAUAGACCCGAAACCCGGUGAUCUAGCCAUGGGCAGGUUGAAGGUUGGGUAACACUAACUGGAGGACCGAACCGACUAAUGUUGAAAAAUUAGCGGAUGACUUGUGGCUGGGGGUGAAAGGCCAAUCAAACCGGGAGAUAGCUGGUUCUCCCCGAAAUCUAUUUAGGUAGAGCCUUGAGCGGACACCUUCGGGGGUAGAGCACUGUUUCGGCUAGGGGUCCAUCCCGGAUUACCAACCCGAUGCAAACUACGAAUACCGAAGAGUGAUACUCAGGAGACACACGGCGGGUGCUAACGUCCGUCGUGGAGAGGGAAACAACCCAGACCGCCAGCUAAGGUCCCAAAGUCUAUAUUAAGUGGGAAACGAAGUGGGAAGGCUUAGACAGCUAGGAUGUUGGCUUAGAAGCAGCCAUCAUUUAAAGAAAGCGUAAUAGCUCACUAGUCGAGUCGGCCUGCGCGGAAGAUGUAACGGGGCUCAAAUAUAGCACCGAAGCUGCGGCAUCAGUAGCAAUACUGUUGGGUAGGGGAGCGUUCUGUAAGCGGAUGAAGGUGGCUCGAGAGGGCUGCUGGACGUAUCAGAAGUGCGAAUGCUGACAUAAGUAACGAUAAAGCGGGUGAAAAGCCCGCUCGCCGGAAGACCAAGGGUUCCUGUCCAACGUUAAUCGGGGCAGGGUGAGUCGACCCCUAAGGCGAGGCCGAAAGGCGUAGUCGAUGGGAAACGGGUUAAUAUUCCUGUACUUGGUGUUACUGCGAUGUGGGGACGGAGCAGGUUAGGUUAUCGCACUGUUGGAUAUGUGCGUUUAAGUUGGUAGGUGGGAAGUUUAGGCAAAUCCGGACUUCUUUAACACUGAGAGAUGAUGGCGAGGCUCUACGGAGCUGAAGUAACCGAUACCACACUUCCAGGAAAAGCCACUAAGCUUCAGGUUUAUCUAAACCGUACUGAAAACCGACACAGGUGGUCAGGUAGAGAAUACUCAGGCGCUUGAGAGAACUCGGGUGAAGGAACUAGGCAAAAUAGCACCGUAACUUCGGGAGAAGGUGCGCCGGCGUAGAUUGUAGUCCCUUGCGGACGAAGGUUGAACCGGUCGAAGAUACCAGCUGGCUGCAACUGUUUAUUAAAAACACAGCACUCUGCAAACACGAAAGUGGACGUAUAGGGUGUGAUGCCUGCCCGGUGCUGGAAGGUUAAUUGAUGGUGUAAUCGAAAGAGAAGCUCCUGAUCGAAGCCCCGGUAAACGGCGGCCGUAACUAUAACGGUCCUAAGGUAGCGAAAUUCCUUGUCGGGUAAGUUCCGACCUGCACGAAUGGCGUAAUGAUGGCCAGGCUGUCUCCACCCGAGACUCAGUGAAAUUGAACUCGCUGUGAAGAUGCAGUGU